GACGAACGCUGGCGGCGUGCUUAACACAUGCAAGUCGAACGAUGAAGCCUUUCGGGGUGGAUUAGUGGCGAACGGGUGAGUAACACGUGGGCAAUCUGCCCUUCACUCUGGGACAAGCCCUGGAAACGGGGUCUAAUACCGGAUAACACUCUGUCCCUCAUGGGGCGGGGUUAAAAGCUCCGGCGGUGAAGGAUGAGCCCGCGGCCUAUCAGCUAGUUGGUGGGGUAAUGGCCUACCAAGGCGACGACGGGUAGCCGGCCUGAGAGGGCGGACCGGCCACACUGGGACUGAGACACGGCCCAGACUCCUACGGGAGGGCAGCAGUGGGGAAUAUUGCACAAUGGGCGAAAGCCUGAUGCAGCGACGCCGCGUGAGGGAUGACGGCCU
rnacentral:rRNA from 1 species